UGGAUUCAACAAAUUUGGAUCUUGACACAGCGACAAGAGGGUAUUGAUCUUGGAAUCCAAUAAAUUAUGCACAACAGGAAAGACCUUUGGGAAGACAACACUGGCUUCUGCUAAAUACUCAUACAGAAUCCGCUGGUCAAAUUCAUCAGUAGUGUACUUCACUAACGUGGCAAGAACUGUAAGCAGCAGUGCUUGAAUUUUUGGAUCAGUCAGAACUUCUUCAUCCAGGAGGACAUUUGACUCAGAAACAGAAACUUUCCGGAGAUGGGGGUGCUGCUGCGGUGAUAUUCUCUGGGUUUCCAUUUCAUAAUCAUUUUCGGCUACUCUCCUCAUUUUGGGAGGCGUUGUGAUUCCAGAUUCCAUGUCUUGCCUUUUAGGAGCCUUUGUGUCCGAUAUCAAAUGGUCAAAACUUUUCCUUGUACCUAGAAGCUUUUUAGUGUUCGCUUGUGAAGGCUGCCCCAUAUCCAAACUCAUGGACUUUCGUGUUCGAGGGCUUAUCUGUCCCACUGUCGGGUAACUGGCAGCCAGGUGUCUGUCUGAUCCCUUUGGUGAUGACCAUGGUUGAUUUUCCUUUAGUGUCCUAUAGGUAGUGUCACUGUGAUGUAUGGGAUAUGUAUCCAUAGGAACAUUUUCCAUUGCAACAUCUGUCAGCAAGAGAGACUUCCUAUGUUUUAGGCUGCAGCGACUUCGAACUUCCUCAGACACUGUCAGCAAAGCUGCUAGGUAAGCCACGCUCUGGGUGUUCACCUCAAACUUGUCACAGUUCCUGUGUUUGUUAACCAG
rnacentral:lncRNA from 1 species